CAGGGAUUCUUGCCCCAAAUAUGUGAAUAACAAAAUAGCUUUUAAAAUACUCUUGAAGUUUUUGGCCUAAUUGUUAAAUCUGCUGCCAUCAUAUGGUGACAAGUGAAAAGAAUAAGGGCACUCAUAGCUCUUAAAGCUAAGGUCCUAAUUAUAUUUAUGAAGGGACAGAAAAACACCCUCUGCUUUUUCUCUAACAUUGGUACAAUUCCCCAAUACCAGUAAACAGAAUAUACAUCGUUUCUUUUACAGAAAUAUAAGUGCUCCCACCAGAAAACCAACAGAACAAAUCCUAUUCUACUCUGAGCUUCACAGUCAAAUUCAAGAUAUGUUGAGAAAAGCGAUGCAGGAUAGACUGAACUGACAACUUCUGAUAAGACAGAGGUAAGGAUAGAGAAUUUUACCGAGCUAAAAAUAGAGAUCCGAAGAAGAAUGGCAGAGAACUCCUAUGGGAUUCCGAAGGCUCCAUCUCUAGAUGUGACCAUGUUCUGAUCAGUUCGACAUUGAAAGAAUCAUCCAGCUGGUUCAUGGCCAAUUUCAAUAUGAAAAGAAACAGACUGCCAAGCUUAGAGACUGAUCAAGAAAACUGCUGGGGCUUGAGGGGCCUGGAAAAGCCACUCCCUCCUUGA
ensembl:lncRNA